AUACGGAGGGUCCAAGCGUUAUCCGGAAUCAUUGGGUUUAAAGGGUCCGCGGGCGGUCAAUUAAGUCAGAGGUGAAAGCCCAUCGCUCAACGAUGGAACUGCCUUUGAUACUGGUUGACUUGAGUUAUACGGAAGUAGAUAGAAUAAGUAGUGUAGCGGUGAAAUGCAUAGAUAUUACUUAGAAUACCGAUUGCGAAGGCAGUCUACUACGUAUAUACUGACGCUGAGGGACGAAAGCGUGGGGAGCGAACAGGAUUAGAUACCCUAGUAGUCC
rnacentral:rRNA from 1 species